rnacentral:lncRNA from 1 species
AUCCAAUUAAGUUUGAUGUAAUUGGAAGAAUGAAAGAGGAUUGUAGUUCUUUAACAAAGGUUUAUAAGUGUAUUUUAUCAUGUUUAGAUUCUUCAUUGUGCUCACAUAGAGGAUCCAUUGUAUGAAUUGUUACACAAGGGCUAUCUAUUUAAAUGGAGAGAAAAGAAAAAUUAAGCAGUGCAAAGAUUGAAGAAAUUAUUGAUAUCACCUCCAAUAUUAAGAAAAGUUGUUUAUAAGUAUAAUAGAGUAAUAGUUCUUACAGUGGAUAC